UCAUUGGUGGUUUAGUGGUAGAAUUCUUGCCUUCCAUGCAGGAGACCCAGGUUCCAUUCUGACCAAUGCA
rnacentral:tRNA from 1 species